UGAUUUCCUUUCAUUUUGAUA
rnacentral:piRNA from 1 species